rnacentral:rRNA from 1 species
UUGGGUGUACUUGCCCGUAUGGUUGGUUAACAUCAAUUUUGGAGGGCAUAAAAUGACUGGAGGAAUGUAGCUUCGAUCUCGUAUUGAAGUGUUAUAGCCUUCGGUAGAUGUGAUGAUCGAGAUUGAGGAUUGCAACGGAUACCCUUCGGGGCUACCUGCCUGAUCUCUGAUCGUUGCUCUGGUGCCGAAAGCUUGCUUACGGUUAUCAAAGUCGAUGGUCAAUAGGUUAGAACGGGUUAAAUUCGUUAAGGAUGUUGAC